CGGGACCGCACAAGCGGUGGAUGAUGUGGUAUUAAUUCGAUGCAACGCGAAAACCUUACCUACCCUUGACAUGUCCGGAAUCCCGAAGAGAUUUGGGAGUGCUCGCAAGAGAACCGGAACACAGGUGCUGCAUGGCUGUCGUCAGCUCGUGUCGUGAGAUGUUGGGUUAAGUCCCGCAACGAGCGCAACCCUUGUCAUUAGUUGCCAUCAUUUGGUUGGGCACUCUAAUGAGACUGCCGGUGACAAACCGGAGGAAGGUGGGGAUGACGUCAAGUCCUCAUGGCCCUUAUGGGUAGGGCUUCACACGUCAUACAAUGGUCGGUACAGAGGGUUGCCAACCCGCGAGGGGGAGCUAAUCCCACAAAGCCGAUCGUAGUCCGGAUCGCAGUCUGCAACUCGACUGCGUGAAGUCGGAAUCGCUAGUAAUCGUGGAUCAGCAUGUCACGGUGAAUACGUUCCCGGGUCUU
rnacentral:rRNA from 1 species